AAGCGUGGACGCCAGUUCGCGUGGAGCCAUCCUUGAAAUACCACCCUGGCAUGCUUGAGGUUCUAACUCUGGUCCGUAAUCCGGAUCGAGGACAGUGUAUGGUGGGCAGUUUGACUGGGGCGGUCUCCUCCUAAAGAGUAACGGAGGAGUACGAAGGUGCGCUCAGACCGGUCGGAAAUCGGUCGUAGAGUAUAAAGGCAAAAGCGCGCUUGACUGCGAGACAGACACGUCGAGCAGGUACGAAAGUAGGUCUUAGUGAUCCG
rnacentral:rRNA from 1 species